rnacentral:rRNA from 1 species
AUUGAACGCUGGCGGCAGGCUUAACACAUGCAAGUCGAGCGGUAACAGAGAGAAGCUUGCUUCUCUGCUGACGAGCGGCGGACGGGUGAGUAAUGCCUAGGAAUCUGCCUAGUAGUGGGGGAUAACUUGCCGAAAGGUAAGCUAAUACCGCAUACGUCCUACGGGAGAAAGGAGGGGACCUUCGGGCCUUUCGCUAUUAGAUGAGCCUAGGUCGGAUUAGUUAGUUGGUGAGGUAAUGGCUCACCAAGACCGCGAUCCGUAACUGGUCUGAGAGGAUGAUCAGUCACACUGGAACUGAGACACGGUCCAGACUCCUACGGGAGGCAGCAGUGGGGAAUAUUGGACAAUGGGGGGAACCCUGAUCCAGCCAUGCCGCGUGUGUGAAGAAGGUCUUCGGAUUGUAAAGCACUUUAAGUUGGGAGGAAGGGCGCUCGGUGAAUACCCAGGCGUCUUGACGUUACCGACAGAAUAAGCACCGGCUAACUUCGUGCCAGCCGCCGCAGUAA